GCUUGGGUGGCUCAGUCGGUUAAGCGUCCGACUUCAGCUCAGGUCAUGAUCUCACAUUCGCGGGUUCAAGUCUCGCAUCGGGCU
rnacentral:tRNA from 1 species